ensembl:lncRNA
AUUAUUACCAUCCUCCAUGUUCUCUGAAAAUGCACAGUAUAUANCCUUAUGGGGGUGCUUGGGAGCAAAAAGGUUGAGAACCAUGUUAUUUUCAGGAAAUACACUGUAUCUUAAUGUUAUUUUUUAAUCCUUUCCCCAACUAAACUAAGAGAGAGUUAGAGAACCUUUAAAUAACUAUACAGGAGCUUAAUGGGUUCUAUAUACAUAAGCAGUGCUAUAUAGCACCUUAACCACCCCAAAUAACCGCUGAAGAACCAUUUUUUUGUGUGUGUUGUUUCAGAAUCUCCUACUGUAAAAGUAUCUCCAGAUGUCAUAAGAGAGUCCAGCUCAGUGAAGAUCAGCUGUGAGGCUCCAGCAGAUGUUAGAGUGAAUCAGUGUUAUUUCUACACAAACAGAGAACAGAAGAACAUAAAAGUCAGUUCAUCAUGUGAGCUCGAGCUCACUGGUGCUGAAGUGCUCAGAUGGGCAGGUGUAAAAUCACCUGAAUCAAUCUACAUUAACUGUUACUACACAAUAAAUGACCAAGGCAUCAAUAAACCAUCAUCUCAUUCUCCUCCUGCCACAGUGACGGUUCUAGAUUCAAUUCCGAAACCCAUCAUCAGUGUUAGUGAUGACCAGCUCAUCAUAUCAUGUGAAAUACCACUUUCAGUCAGAACUGAUUUCAACUGUAGUUUCUACACUGAGGAUGAUGUUCUUCUGUAUCAACGUGUCUCUCAGUGGAGUCAGUCUGGAAAGAAUCUUUGUAUGUUUUAUGUAAGUCGUAGUGAACUCUUCACACGAUCAGUGAACAGCAGACAACUGUUCUGUGUUUAUUCACUCAAGACUGAACCUGAGAUCAGAUCACCACGCAGUGACACAUACACCAUCAGAGGUGAGUUAUUAUUGUUAUCAUCUUUAAAACAUGAGCACAUUUAAUGAUUAGAGACACCUGUAUGAUUUCUUAUGUAGGCAAGUAGUAUCAAAGUACCUUUAAGGCAAGUCAUGUCACUCGGCGGCCAUCUUUGAAUGCCUCUCGAGCAUGCAAGUGAAGCUCCUAUCUCUGUGAAUGGGAAAUAUCAAAUUCUCCAAAAUUCACCAAGCUUACAAUUAAAUUUAAUAUUUGAAAUCACCAAUGUAGUCUAACAUCAG